UCAGAGUUACAAGAUGCUCAUGAUUGGCUGUGGCAUGGUUUGCGGGGCUUACUCUAAGAAGUGUGCGGCCUUCACGUAUUCGACCCGGAUGUUGGGUUCGGGACGUGACAGCAUCACAGAAGCACUAUUGCAUCAACAAAAAUGUAUGCACAAAGGACAGUGUGGAUGAAGAGUGCAAAUUGCUACUGAAGGACCCAGAAAAUCUAGGCUGUGUUGAGUUCAAAAAUGCAAAUAAGCUUAAGGCUCAUCCUUCCCUUCAGCAAGGUGGUUGUCAUGAAGUUCAUGAUAUUUAAGAUCUUGUGAAAGUUGGCUGGACUGUGAAUGGUCUGUUAGGUUUAGCAUUAAACAGAACACUGAGGUCAAAUUAGCAACAUAGAGAACAUGGCACGGGAUGCUGGUAGUAUAGAUGCCGCAGAAGAAGUUCUUUUUAAGACCCAAACAGAGCUAGGGCAAUUAUGCACGAUGGACAGUGUUGCAAUGAUAUACUGACCCUUAUAUGACAUGAUCCAGGGAAUUAUUAGUUAGAUAAGUGAGAGGAAAAACAACUUGCAAAAGCGGAAAUUUGAGAAUAACUCUUCAUGGUGAGUGAAUCGUGUUAUUUUUUUUAUCUCCGUUAUAGUAACUUAAAGUUUCAUAGUUAACUUGGGUGUCAAAGUAACCCCAUUCAAAAGAACCACGGCUGCUGUAUUUUGAUGACUAAUGAAUAAGAGGAAAUUAGCAGUCAGGUUAUUUAUUAAGCUAUCCAGCUGGAUAAGGGUGUCCUUGGCAUCUUCUUUCUGUAUACUGCAUUAUUUUAGUCUGGGCUAUAUUUCUUUUAUUCAUGUCCUGAACAAUAAAAACCAUCAUAAGAAUGCUUGGAAGGAGCCAAAUUAGCAAUUAUUAAUUAUAGAAAUUGAAUCAUAGCUGUACAACCAAAACUACAGUGCACUGUAGCAGUUGCACACUUGCACUAAUUUUUGUCUUCAGGAUUUAAACUCCAGAACUUGAGUUUGCUGAAAUUAGAGAUUUCUUUGAAGCUUGAAGCAUGCUUCUCACUUUCUAUUGAAUUGUCAAAAAGAAGCCAGUCAAAAAGGUGUUAAGAGGACUCAAGGAUAUUUCCUGAACAGCAUCUUGUCUUUUAUUGAUUGGCCAACUUGUGUAUUGUAUGAUAAUCUCCUUAACAGUAAAUUGCAAACAUCAUAACUUAUUCUUGAAUUGGUUCUUAGUUGGACUGGGGAUAAAGCUAUCAGAGAGCUUCAGCAAGCUGGAAUUAUUCAGCAAUGCUUUCCAAUGUAAUAUUCGGCUCACUCAGGCCUAACCAACUUAACCCCAACCUCAUCACAAGCACAAAUCUCAAAGAAAAAAAAAA